rnacentral:rRNA from 1 species
UACGUAGGGGGCAAGCGUUGUCCGGAAUCAUUGGGCGUAAAGAGCGUGUAGGCGGUUCAGUAAGUCUGCUGUGAAAGUCCAGGGCUCAACCCUGGGAUGCCGGUGGAUACUGCUGGGCUAGAGUACGGAAGAGGCGAGUGGAAUUCCCGGUGUAGCGGUGAAAUGCGCAGAUAUCGGGAGGAACACCUAUUGCGAAGGCAGCUCGCUGGGACGUUACUGACGCUGAGACGCGAGAGCGUGGGGAGCAAACAGG